GUGCUUACACAUGCAGUCGAACGGUGAAGAGGAGCUUGCUCCUUGGAUCAGUGGCGAACGGGUGAGUAACACGUGAGCAAUCUGCCCUUGACUCUGGGAUAACUGCGGGAAACUGUAGCUAAUACCGGAUAUUACCUUGGAAGGCAUCUUCUGGGGUGGAAAGAAUUUUGGUCAAGGAUGAGCUCGCGGCCUAUCAGCUAGUUGGUGAGGUAAUGGCUCACCAAGGCGACGACGGGUAGCCGGCCUGAGAGGGUGACCGGCCACACUGGGACUGAGACACGGCCCAGACUCCUACGGGAGGCAGCAGUGGGGAAUAUUGCACAAUGGGCGCAAGCCUGAUGCAGCAACGCCGCGUGAGGGACGACGGCCUUCGGGUUGUAAACCUCUUUUAGUAGGGAAGAAGCGACUGGGUUUUCCUGGAAGUGACGGUACCUGCAAAAAAAGCACCGGCUAACUUCGUGCCAGCAGCCGCGGUAAUACGUAGGGUGCAAGCGUUGUCCGGAAUUAUUGGGCGUAAAGAGCUCGUAGGCGGUUUGUCGCGUCUGCUGUGAAAACCCGAGGCUCAACCUCGGGCCUGCAGUGGGUACGGGCAGACUAGAGUGCGGUAGGGGAGAUUGGAAUUCCUGGUGUAGCGGUGGAAUGCGCAGAUAUCAGGAGGAA
rnacentral:rRNA from 1 species